CGGUUCGAUCCCGCUAGGCUCCA
rnacentral:tRNA from 1 species